rnacentral:tRNA from 1 species
ACUCCUUUAGUUCAGUCGGUUAGAGCACCAAGCUUAUACCUUGGGAGUCGUAGGUUCAAGUCCUACAAGGAGUA